rnacentral:miRNA from 1 species
UUGAGUACCCUGGUUUCUCUCAUUUGUGCUUACUGAGUUUCAUAUAGUCACAUAAAUCCAUGUGUACAUGUUAAAUGAAAGUAGAAGAGAGACUCUGUGUGAUGGGG